AUACGGGGGGUGCGAGCGUUAUUCGGAAUUACUGGGCGUAAAGAGCGCGUAGGCGGUCUUUUAAGUCAGGUGUGUAAGCCCGGGGCUCAACCCCGGAAGUGCACUUGAAACUAAGAGACUUGAGUAUGCGAGAGGGAAGUGGAAUUCCUGGUGUAGCGGUGAAAUGCGUAGAUAUCAGGAGGAACAUCAGUGGCGAAGGCGACUUCCUGGACCAAUACUGACGCUGAGGCGCGAAGGCGUGGGGAGCAAACAGAAUUAGAAACCCCAGUAGUCC
rnacentral:rRNA from 1 species